AAAAAUAAUAUGACCAGUAAUUUGGGCUAAUUAGAUUUAGCCAGUUAAAAUCGUGAUGAAUAAAAUUAAAGAACUAUUAUAAAUACAAAAAUUAUAUAAAAAUAAAUCUAUAAACUGAUACUUAUAUUUGAAUAGUUUGAUGUAUACGUCUUUUAAACAAAAUAGCUAAAUCUUAACUAAAAUUUGACAUUGCCUAAUUGACUACUGGUACUUAGUGUGGACUACUUGUGCUCAGUGUGGGACGGUCACAAUGUUCGAGAAAAAGAACUGCAAAUAGAAAAUAUAAAAUUCAACGAAUUUAUAUUGUUAUCUUCACCAACUGUAUAACGCGCGUUCUUCAAGCCACGAGUGAAGAAACUCGUCUGUGCCAAACUUAAAGGCAAUUGAUGAAAAGUCAGUGGCAAUCUCUACUUGUUCAUGUAUAUGUGAGACAAAGUGAAGGGGAGACAGAAAGAGCUUAGGAUAACGUCUCUUGUUGAGGAAAAGAAACGCCCAUAAGCUUCUUCACUUGUAUCGGUGAAAACUUCCGUGAUUAUUAUUGUUUUUUGAACUUUUUUCUGUUUCUUUAUUUUUUUUGGGGGGUGGGGUGUUAUGUAAUGGAGGGAAGAGAUCUUUACGAAGUGAGAAACAGUUUUCAGGUAGACAGUUCUUCCAUAUGGAGGGACAAGGGUGUGCAAGUUUUCUCAACAUCAUUUCGUCGAGAAGAUGACGAGGAAGCUCUGAAAUGGGCUGCACUCGAGAGACUUCCCACUUACACACGUUUGAGGAAAGGUUUACUAUGUCCAGUGGUCAGCCCUCUGAAAUCGAUGUUAAAAAGCUUGGGCUUCAAGAAAGAAAGGAUCUUGUUGAAAGAUUAAUCAGAGACGCCGAGGUGGAUGAUGAGAAGUUUCUGUUCAAGCUCAAGGAACGCAUUGACAAAGUUGGAAUUUAGAUUCCCACACUUGAAAUUAGAUUCAAGCAUUUUAAAGUCGAAGCAGAUGUUUAUGUAGGAAGCAGAGCAUUGCCUUCAUUUUUCAACUACUCUAUCAAUUUGGUGGAGGGUUUCUUGACUUAUCUUCAUCUACUUCCAAGUACAAAGAAACAUCUGUCUAUCCUUUGUGAUGUUAGCGGAAUCAUUAGGCCUUGCAGACUAACAUUUAUUUUAGGUCCUCCAAGUUCUGGAAAGACCACUCUUCUGUUGGCUUUGGCUGGGAAGCUUGAUCCAAAUCUCAAGUUCUCUGGGAGGGUGACUUACAACGGAUAUGGCAUGCAUGAGUUUGUGCCCCAGAGGACGGCAGCCUAUAUUAGUCCCCACGAUCUUCAUAUGCCAGAAAUGACUGUAAGAGAGAACUUGGCCUUUUUUGCAAGAUGCCAAGGAGUCGGAUCUCGUCAUGGUUGGCUAAAUAUAUUGCUUUUUCUCCUUUUGUUUUCCAGCACAUUUAGAUUUUCAAGUUUGACACAGUAUAUUAUUUUGACAAUCUACAGAGUGGCUAGCAAAUUUGUCAAGGAGAGAGAAAGAAGCCCAUAUCAAGCCUGAUCCUGAUAUUGAUGUCUUCAUGAAGGUGAGCAAAGUAUUGUAAAAUAAGAAAACUUUAGGGUUGAGAAGCAUUGAAACUUUUAGCUAUUUUCCGAGAACAUGAAAAAAAGUAGUCACUCUGGUGUAGAUGAUUUCAAUAUUGUCAUUUGGCUGGAUCAAGAUAGAGUUUCUUACACUGAUCCUUCUAUGCAUGCAUAUCAAUGUAAUUGCAGCUGUGAAUUAUGCUUGAGUAUUCACCGAAAUCCGUUCUGAGAAACGAUAGGGAUUUCUCAGUACACAAAUAUCUGAAUUAGUCCUUGCUAUUUAAUUCAUGCAACAUCAAUAGAAGGUCAGAAGACAAAUGUGGUCACAGAUUAUAUUAUAAAUGUAUCAUCACUAAUGUAGCAAUCGGUUUUUUAAUUUUCUCAGUUCAUGUAAUCCAUUAAUCAAAUAAUUGCCUUUUUACUUGAAGAUUUUGGGACUAGAAGUUUGCGCAGACACCUUGGUAGGGGAUGAGAUGUUAAGAGGCAUCUCUGGAGGA